rnacentral:rRNA from 1 species
UACGUAGGGGGCAAGCGUUGUUCGGAGUUACUGGGCGUAAAGGGUGUGUAGGCGGUUGUUUAAGUUUGGUGUGAAAUCUCCCGGCUCAACUGGGAGGGUGCGCCGAAUACUGAAUGACUCGAGUGCGGGAGAGGAGAGUGGAAUUCCUGGUGUAGCGGUGAAAUGCGUAGAUAUCAGGAGGAACACCGGUGGUGUAGACGGCUCUCUGGACCGUAACUGACGCUGAGACACGAAAGCGUGGGUAGCAAACAGG